GAUGAACGCUAGCUACAGGCUUAACACAUGCAAGUCGAACGGAGCUAUUUCGAUAGAUCUCUUCGGAGUGACAUUGGCUUAGCUUAGUGGCGAACGGGUGAGUAACACGUGAGGAACCUGCCUUUCAGGAGGGGGACAACAGUUGGAAACGACUGCUAAUACCGCAUAAGACCACGAUACGGCAUCGUAUUGAGGUCAAAGGAGCAAUCCGCUGAAAGAUGGCCUCGCGUCCGAUUAGCUAGAUGGUGAGGUAACC
rnacentral:rRNA from 1 species